UACGAAGGGGGCUAGCGUUGCUCGGAAUCACUGGGCGUAAAGGGUGCAUAGGCGGGUUUUUAAGUCAGGGGUGAAAUCCUGGAGCUCAACUCCAGAACUGCCUUUGAUACUGAAGAUCUUGAGUUCGGGAGAGGUGAGUGGAACUGCGAGUGUAGAGGUGAAAUUCGUAGAUAUUCGCAAGAACACCAGUGGCGAAGGCGGCUCACUGGCCCGAUACUGACGCUGAGGCACGAAAGCGUGGGGAGCAAACAGG
rnacentral:rRNA from 1 species